rnacentral:rRNA from 1 species
UACGUAGGGUGCGAGCGUUGUCCGGAAUUACUGGGCGUAAAGAGCUCGUAGGCGGUUUGUUGCGUCGGCUGUGAAAUCCCGAGGCUCAACCUCGGGUCUGCAGUCGAUACGAGCAAACUAGAGUGUUGCAGGGGAGACUGGAAUUCCUGGUGUAGCGGUGAAAUGCGCAGAUAUCAGGAGGAACACCGGUGGCGAAGGCGGGUCUCUGGGCAACAACUGACGCUGAGGAGCGAAAGCUAGGGGAGCGAAUGGG